AGCGAACGCUGGCGGCAGGCUUAACACAUGCAAGUCGAGCGCCCCGCCAGGGGAGCGGCCGACGGGAGAGUAACACGUGGGAACAUACCUUUUGGUUCGGAACAACUGAGGGAAACUUCAGCUAAUACCGGAUAAGCCCUUACGGGGAAAGAUUUAUCGCCGAAAGAUUGGCCCGCGUCUGAUUAGCUAGUUGGUGGGGUAACGGCUCACCAAGGCGACGAUCAGUAGCUGGUCUGAGAGGAUGAUCAGCCUCACUGGGACGGAGACACGGCCCAGACUCCUACGGGAGGCAGCAGUGGGGAAUAUUGGAAAAUGGGGGCAACCCUGAUCCAGCCAUGCCGGGUGAGUGAUGAAGGCCUUAGGGUUGUAAAGCGCUUUUGCCCGGGAAGAUAAUGACGGUACCGGGAGAAUAAGCCCCGGCUAACUUCGUG
rnacentral:rRNA from 1 species